AAGAAAUUAGUUAAUUUAAAAUAAUAAAAACUUGUCAAGUUUUAGUCACUAUAUCCCAUUAGUAUUUCUUA
rnacentral:tRNA from 1 species